AUCGCAGGAGAAGACAGUAUUUUUUUCCCGAAGAUACGCCUGGAGGAGAGGAGGCCUCUAUUUCAGGACAGUAGGCUUUGUUUUCAGUGAUCCGAUCAAGGAUAAUUAGACCAUUAGAUUGGUCUGCAUUUAAUAUUGGUAGCGUAGCCUGUAAAAUGUAGCACUUCUUAUCAAAGAGCAUGCUUAUUAAUUAUAUGUGCUGGCAUGUAAGUGUAUUGUAAACAUUCAAUCAGUAGCUCGCAUGUUGCACAUAAUAUAAACUAAUUUAUCAUAAUCUUUUUGCACCCUGUAAUUGCAAACCUAAUAGAGCAGGGCAUGUGGCUCCAGACCUUAUGAUUACUCUGUGCAUCUCACAUUAGACCUCAGGAAGAAAAGAUAAUCAAAUCUCAGGGUGUUGAUGGGGAACACUGUGAUCCAUCAGAUAUCUGGAUUGUUCCAUGUGCUGCUUGAUAAUUAAGCAGAAAAAACACCACUAGAUUGCAUCAGUUGAAGAUACUGUCAAAAAGCAGCAAACGUUGUGAAAACCGUGUAUAUCUUAUAUCAGAAUAAGAUUUGUUGCCAAGUAAGUUUUCACUUGCACAGAAUUUGUGUUUUGUGCAUACAAACGUAUUGAAAGGAAAUUAACAAUAAAGCAAAGUUCUGCAACAGUCAAAAACAUAAUUAAAUAAUAUUAGCCCGUCUUCUUAAAAAACAAAUAUAAAAGAAAACCUUUGCAAAUAUUACAAAGUUGGAGGUUAGUUUGAUGUGCAUCAUUUAAAGUUUCAGUCAGUUGGAGCUCGUAUACGAGGGUGUUGCUGUUAGAGUUAGUAACCAACUUUUUGAGGCUCCUCUUCAUAUAAAACCUUUAAUCCUAACAUCCGGUGACAUGGAAGUAUUAAGCCUACGGAUCCCUUUUCUUCUGUGCUGCAUAUUUGCAAUGUCCGAGGGACGGGGAGCGUGUGCAGAGGUGGACUCUGACACAGAAGCGGUGGCGGGCAAGGGCUUCAAACUGGGCUGCAUCUCCUGCAAGAGGAGGAGUGAGGUGGAGGCUACUGCCACCGUCGAAUGGUACUUCAGGGCAAAAGGAGAAGCAGACUUCGUCCAUAUCUACACCUACAACGAGGAAGGCCCCAUCAUUGAAAACGACAACUUUAUGGACCGUUUGGAUUGGAACGGAACUAAGAGGAGCCAGGACAUCCAGGAUGGAUCCAUAUACCUCCUCAACGUCACCUUCAAUGACACGGGCACCUACCGCUGCUUUUUCAACCGAAUCCUCUUCUACGAAAACUAUGAAAACAGCAGAGUUAUCAGCAAAGUGGUCCAACUUACUGUGGUAGCUAAAGCGACCAGAGGAACGGCUUCCAUCGUGUCCGAGGUCAUGAUGUACGUGUCCAUCAUUGGCCUUCAGGUCUGGCUCCUCAUAGAGAUGAUAUACUGCUACAGGAAAAUAUCAGCAGCUGGGGAAGAAGCAUUAAGAGAAGCAGCAAAUGCUGAAUAUUUAGCAAUAGCCUCAGAAAGUAAAGAGAACUGCGCAGGGGUGCAGGUCGGAGAAUAGCACAGGUAGGUUUGGGAUCCCGAGGUGAAAGUGCAUGUCUGCAUCAUUCUCAGGCUCCUCUCCUGGACUAAAAACAUCCUUCCACCCUCUAAUCUGCAUGUAGAAAACUUGGAGGUAAAACUCCUCUUCAUCUCAAGCCUCCAUUUGACCUUUUUGCUGACAAAGAUCACACAUGGAUAUUAAAUACAAAGAGAGCAUGGUACCAGCACUGUAUAUAGUAAUCUGCGCCUAAAAAGCACGUUCUGCUUAUGCACUUAUUUGAGAAACAUUAUGCAUUAAAGAGCCAUAUUGUCGUAUUUUUAACGUACAGGAUUUCUUUAAGUAAAUGUAGUCACUAGGGGUUUGACGAGACACUUGGCUCAUGAGACAAGACACAAGAUUGGGUUCUUGAGAAAAGACAAGAUUUUAACACUAUUUUAGAGACGACUAAAAUUAUGAAAUGAGUGGAAAGUCUUUUAUUCAAUUGAAAGACACAAAAAGAAAAAUGAGCAUUGUGAAAGGUUGUCUACAAACUCUGAUUGCUUCUCUCCUGUAUUACUAACCUCUUCGGACAUCUCUCCUCCCGAACUGGUCUCUACAACUUAUUAAU